UACAGAGGUCCCAAGCGUUGUUCGGAUUCACUGGGCGUAAAGGGUGUGUAGGCGGUCAAAUAAGUUCAGGGUGAAAUCUCCGAGCUCAACUCGGAAACGGCCCUAAAUACUAUUUGGCUUGAGGGUUGGAGGGGGGACUGGAAUUCUCGGUGUAGCAGUGAAAUGCGUAGAUAUCGAGAGGAACAUCAGUGGCGAAGGCGAGUCCCUGGACAACAUCUGACGCUGAGACACGAAAGCUAGGGGAUCAAACAGG
rnacentral:rRNA from 1 species